GUUGGGCAUGGUGGCUCAUGCCUGUAAUCCCAAUACUUUGGGAGAAUGAGAUGGGAGGAUUGCUUGAGCCCAGGAGUUCCAGGCUGUAGUAAGCUAUGAUCGUGCCACUGCACUCCAGCCUGGGCAACAGAGCAAGACUCUAUCUCUA
ensembl:misc_RNA Metazoa_SRP Metazoan signal recognition particle RNA